CAUAUUUCAUUUAUUAUAGGGGGGGAACUGUCUCCUUUCUAACCCCAAAAAAACUAAUGACACCAGAAAUAGAUGAACAUUUGCACACUUUCACUUUAUAUUAAUGUGAUAAAAUAUGUGUAUUAUUUGGUGGCACAGGAAGAGCGUUUUUUAUUUCCCCCCUUCCCAAGAAAUGGUGCACAAAAGGCUAAAGAGAAGGACGAAUGGCAUCAAAUGGCUUUGUGAAGAAGGAAAUGACACAAGAGCUUAUUGUGCAAGACGUCUCAUGGACAACACAAGUUGGACUGAUGCCCUCACACUGAAGAGAUUACUAAUAAAAGCACAUGGAAAAGACCCAUCUCGCCACAAGCCGGUCUACUUUACAACAUUCUCCCACAAACAUUCCAUUGAUGUUCCUCGGGUAACCUCAGGUGUCAAGUGAGAUGAAGGACUGUGAUAAACCCACCAGUGGAAAUGUUCCUAGAUUUUAGGGGGUCUGUGUGCUUUAUGGUCUACUAUGCACUUUUAUCUGUUUCUAUUACCCUAACCUGGAAUAUCUCUGACAUGACCUACCUCAGUCUGAAAAUCUAUUUAUGAAGAUUUUUUGACAAUGAAGACCCCUAAACCAUGAGUGCAUUUCUGAGAAUCUACAUUUCCCAUGUGAUUUCUCCAAUGGUGUUAAUGACAGAUAUCACUUCAAUUUUCAGGGUAAUGUAAUAAAAACAAUAACCUUGUCAAGGCCUAGUAACCUAUAGUAGCAACAAACAAUCAGGUGUUGUAGCAAAUGCUACCGCUGAUUGGUUGUUAUGUGUUAUUAGACCAGUAGUGAACUUUGCACCUUUUUUUUUAUACCCCCAUGCUUAUGGCAGUUUUUUUUUUUUGGGGGGGUAGAUUAGAGAGGGCACUUAUCCUGGCCACAUUAGCAACAUAGGUAGGUCUGGCAUUGUCCUAGGCAGCAGACCUGUGUCCUCUAUAUCAACAACAAAGGACAGUCAUUUUUACAUUAUAAGCACCAAGGGCCACCACAUUUUAUAUCUCAGCUCUAGGCACUGGCCCAUCAAGUGCUUAUUUAGAAAAUAUGGCCCCAGAAUAUAAUAAGUUAGAUACAUUGGAAAUAUACAUCAACAAUGCUGAGCCUGCACCCCCCUGGAGAAUCUGCUGAAUCCUAGUUUUACUGAACUGUUACACCUAUAAAUGGAGGACAAUAAAAAUACAAGACGUUUUUCUCAUUGAAAUCAAAGAAAUUAUUGAACAUGUAACCACAGAAAUACAUAUUCCUAAAGUCACUGGCCAUAGAGUGUGUGUGCAUGUUAGGAACCUUACACUGAAUGAUGAUAGAGUGCUGUGUUAAGCAUACGCAAUGUAUAUAUAAAGAAUAAUAUAAAUAUUAUUAAUAAAUGAAGGAAAUAA